rnacentral:misc_RNA from 1 species
GUGAAUCAUCAAAUUUUUGAACGCAAAUUGCACUCUCCGGUUUUCCGGGAGAGUAUGCCUGUUUGAGGGUCUGUUUAAAAAAUAAUCGAGGCUGCUGCUGUGGUGGCUCUUCGGAAUUGGGUCAUCUUAAAUCCUUUUGGUUUUAAGCGACUUAAAAUUUUCUUUUUGGUUCCAUGAACGUUUCUAAGAUAUAUUUCUUUACACGUUUAAGGGUAUCGAUUUUUAUUAGACGUGACCAUCAUAUCGGAUCGCGUCCAUAAUCUUUCAUUAACUGACCUCAGACAGGUAAGAGUACCCG